UCUACCUGUGACCUUGCUGUGUGGCCCCAGGUGUGCUAUGUCAUUUCCAGGUCUUUUUCUUUGCAACCUUGGGAACUUCUGGGUGAAAUAUGAAACUGCUCCCAUACACAGACGUCAAGGAGAGAUUGAAGAAAGAGGCAGAGCACUCCAGAUUGUUGAGUGGCUGGAGUAACCUACAGGUCUUAUUACCAGAAGAAAGAAUGCCCGCACCAGGAGAUGAAGCAAUCAUUUCCCUGAAUGGCAAGUUAAGACUGCCAAAUGGCCACUUUUAGGUCCUCAUGCCUCUGAAUCAACAGAUGAGGAAAAGCGUACUUUGCUGCAUGCGGUUUUUGAUUGUGACAAAAUGUCAAAUA